GGGACACGUGGUAUCCUGUCUGAAUAUGGGGGGACCAUCCUCCAAGGCUAAAUACUCCUGACUGACCGAUAGUGAACCAGUACCGUGAGGGAAAGGCGAAAAGAACCCCGGCGAGGGGAGUGAAAAAGAACCUGAAACCGUGUACGUACAAGCAGUGGGAGCCUCUUAAUGGGGUGACUGCGUACCUUUUGUAUAAUGGGUCAGCGACUUAUAUUCUGUAGCAAGGUUAACCGAAUAGGGGAGCCGAAGGGAAACCGAGUCUUAACUGGGCGUUAAGUUGCAGGGUAUAGACCCGAAACCCGGUGAUCUAGCCAUGGGCAGGUUGAAGGUUGGGUAACACUAACUGGAGGACCGAACCGACUAAUGUUGAAAAAUUAGCGGAUGACUUGUGGCUGGGGGUGAAAGGCCAAUCAAACCGGGAGAUAGCUGGUUCUCCCCGAAAGCUAUUUAGGUAGCGCCUCGUGAAUUCAUCUCCGGGGGUAGAGCACUGUUUCGGCAAGGGGGUCAUCCCGACUUACCAACCCGAUGCAAACUGCGAAUACCGGAGAAUGUUAUCACGGGAGACACACGGCGGGUGCUAACGUCCGUCGUGAAGAGGGAAACAACCCAGACCGCCAGCUAAGGUCCCAAAGUCAUGGUUAAGUGGGAAACGAUGUGGGAAGGCCCAGACAGCCAGGAUGUUGGCUUAGAAGCAGCCAUCAUUUAAAGAAAGCGUAAUAGCUCACUGGUCGAGUCGGCCUGCGCGGAAGAUGUAACGGGGCUAAACCAUGCACCGAAGCUGCGGCAGCGACGCUUAUGCGUUGUUGGGUAGGGGAGCGUUCUGUAAGCCUGUGAAGGUGUGCUGUGAGGCAUGCUGGAGGUAUCAGAAGUGCGAAUGCUGACAUAAGUAACGAUAAAGCGGGUGAAAAGCCCGCUCGCCGGAAGACCAAGGGUUCCUGUCCAACGUUAAUCGGGGCAGGGUGAGUCGACCCCUAAGGCGAGGCCGAAAGGCGUAGUCGAUGGGAAACAGGUUAAUAUUCCUGUACUUGGUGUUACUGCGAAGGGGGGACGGAGAAGGCUAUGUUGGCCGGGCGACGGUUGUCCCGGUUUAAGCGUGUAGGCUGGUUUUCCAGGCAAAUCCGGAAAACCAAGGCUGAGGCGUGAUGACGAGGCACUACGGUGCUGAAGCGACAAAUGCCCUGCUUCCAGGAAAAGCCUCUAAGCAUCAGGUAACAUCAAAUCGUACCCCAAACCGACACAGGUGGUCAGGUAGAGAAUACCAAGGCGCUUGAGAGAACUCGGGUGAAGGAACUAGGCAAAAUGGUGCCGUAACUUCGGGAGAAGGCACGCUGAUAUGUAGGUGAAGCGACUUGCUCGUGGAGCUGAAAUCAGUCGAAGAUACCAGCUGGCUGCAACUGUUUAUUAAAAACACAGCACUGUGCAAACACGAAAGUGGACGUAUACGGUGUGACGCCUGCCCGGUGCCGGAAGGUUAAUUGAUGGGGUUAGCGGUAACGCGAAGCUCUUGAUCGAAGCCCCGGUAAACGGCGGCCGUAACUAUAACGGUCCUAAGGUAGCGAAAUUCCUUGUCGGGUAAGUUCCGACCUGCACGAAUGGCGUAAUGAUGGCCAGGCUGUCUCCACCCGAGACUCAGUGAAAUUGAACUCGCUGUGAAGAUGCAGUGUACCCGCGGCAAGACGGAAAGACCCCGUGAACCUUUACUAUAGCUUGACACUGAACAUUGAGCCUUGAUGUGUAGGAUAGGUGGGAGGCUUUGAAGUGUGGACGCCAGUCUGCAUGGAGCCGACCUUGAAAUACCACCCUUUAAUGUUUGAUGUUCUAACGUUGGCCCGUAAUCCGGGUUGCGGACAGUGUCUGGUGGGUAGUUUGACUGGGGCGGUCUCCUCCUAAAGAGUAACGGAGGAGCACGAAGGUUGGCUAAUCCUGGUCGGACAUCAGGAGGUUAGUGCAAUGGCAUAAGCCAGCUUGACUGCGAGCGUGACGGCGCGAGCAGGUGCGAAAGCAGGUCAUAGUGAUCCGGUGGUUCUGAAUGGAAGGGCCAUCGCUCAACGGAUAAAAGGUACUCCGGGGAUAACAGGCUGAUACCGCCCAAGAGUUCAUAUCGACGGCGGUGUUUGGCACCUCGAUGUCGGCUCAUCACAUCCUGGGGCUGAAGUAGGUCCCAAGGGUAUGGCUGUUCGCCAUUUAAAGUGGUACGCGAGCUGGGUUUAGAACGUCGUGAGACAGUUCGGUCCCUAUCUGCCGUGGGCGCUGGAGAACUGAGGGGGGCUGCUCCUAGUACGAGAGGACCGGAGUGGACGCAUCACUGGUGUUCGGGUUGUCAUGCCAAUGGCACUGCCCGGUAGCUAAAUGCGGAAGAGAUAAGUGCUGAAAGCAUCUAAGCACGAAACUUGCCCCGAGAUG
rnacentral:rRNA from 1 species